rnacentral:rRNA from 1 species
UACAGAGGGGGCAAGCGUUGUUCGGAAUUACUGGGCGUAAAGGGCGCGUAGGCGGCCUGUUAAGUCGAACGUGAAAUCCCCGGGCUCAACCCGGGAACUGCGUCCGAUACUGGCAGGCUUGAAUCCGGGAGAGGGAUGCGGAAUUCCAGGUGUAGCGGUGAAAUGCGUAGAUAUCAGGAGGAACACCAGUGGCGAAGGCGCCGCUCUGGGCCGUGACUGACGCUGAGGAGCGAAAGCGUGGGUAGCAAACAGG